CAAGAUCAUUCCAUGAUAUUGUUUUCAACUUGGUCACAGGGACAUGUGGAAUGGCAGUGUCCCAAUGACGGUACAAAUGCUUGAGUUCCGGAGGUAGAUGAAUCAAGACCAUACUGUUGCCUUCAGAAUCACAGUAGAAGUCUUGUGCAGUGAGUUUUACUUCGACCAGAUGAUAGAGUUCAUCUUCAUAGCAGGUUUCAGGAGUGAUG